AUUGAACGCUGGCGGCAGGCCUAACACAUGCAAGUCGAACGAGUGGCGGACGGGUGAGUAAUGUCUGGGAAACUGCCUGAUGGAGGGGGAUAACUACUGGAAACGGUAGCUAAUACCGCAUACCCUCGGAUGUGCCCAGAUUGGAUUAGCUAGUAGGUGGGGUAACGGCUCACGUAGGCGACGAUCCCUAGCUGGUCUGCGAGGAUGACAGUCCACACGUGAACUGAGAAACGGUCCAGAUUCCUACGGGAGGCAGCAGUGGGGAAUAUUGCACAAUGGGCGAAAGCCGGAUGCAGCAAUGCCGCGUGUAUGAAGAAGGCCUUCGUGUUGUAAAGUACUUUCAGCGGGGAGGCGUUACCCGCAGAAGAAGCACCGGCUAACUCCGUGCCAGCAGCCGCGGUAAUAC
rnacentral:rRNA from 1 species